CACUGACAGAGAUAUGGAUACACAAACACUGACAGACAUACAGAUACACAACACACACUGACAUACAGAUACACCCACUGACAGAGAUAUGGAUACACAAACACUGACAGACAUACAGAUACACAACACACACUGACAUACAAAUACACCCACUGACAGAGAUAUGGAUACACAAACACUGACGGACAUAGAGAUACACAACACACACUGACAUACAGAUACACCCACUGACAGAGAUAUGGAUAUACAAACACAGACAGACAUACAGAUACACAACACACACUGACAUACAGAUACACCCACUGACAGAGAUAUGGAUAAACACAUACUGACAGACAUACAGAUACACAAUACAUAAAGCCAUACGGAUAGACACACAUUCCAUUACAGAACAGCUAGUGAUUGGCAGAUACAAACGAUGAUCCCAG